rnacentral:tRNA from 1 species
GGGCAUAGAAGAUAACCCUUGGCCUUCUAAGCCUAAGGGAUUGCAGUUCAAUUCUGUAAUAUGCCCG